rnacentral:misc_RNA from 1 species
GCUUGACGCCCCUGCUGCCAUAAAAUCUUGAAGCAAGUUCGAAAUAUUCGUCAUCAUCUCUGAUACUCCUAGUUUGAUGUUAUUCACCCAAUCCCAAAGUGGGGAGCUGUCGGAGAUUUGAUUCUUCGGGGUUGGGGUUGUCGAGCUAUCCACGGAUUCUUCAGGAUCAGCGGAUCUUUCAGGGGAGAGGACGGCUGAUUCCUGAUUCUUGUAGAAAGCCAUGACCUUGUCGUUCUUCAUUAUGGCAUCCCAAACGUUCUUAUCAGAGGCCAGUGAUGCAACAACAUUCUGAGCUUCAGGGCUCCCUUGCAGCAAGGA